rnacentral:rRNA from 1 species
ACUCAAAGGAAUAGACGGGGACCCGCACAAGCGGUGGAGCGUGUUGUUUAAUUCGACGAUAAGCGAAGAACCUUACCAGGGUUUGACAUCCUUGGAAUUUCUGUGAAAGCAGAAAGUGCCUUUUGGAACCAAGUGACAGGUGAUGCAUGGCCGUCGUCAGCUCGUGUCGUGAGAUGUUGGGUUAAGUCCCUCAACGAGCGCAACCCUUAUGAAUAGUUGGAUUUUUCUAUUCAGACCGCCUCGGCAACGGGGAGGAAGGAGGGGAUGAUGUCAGGUCAGUAUUUCCCUUACACCCUGGGCUACAAACACGCUACAAUGGCCGGUACAAAGAGCUGCAAUGCCGCGAGGCGAAGCAAAUCCCAUCAAAGCCGGUCCCAGUUCGGAUUGCAGGCUGAAAUUCGCCUGCAUGAAGUCGGAAUCGCUAGUAACCGUAGGUCAGCACACUACGGUGAAUACGUUCCCGGGUCUUGUACACACCGCCCGU